UUUGAACCAUUUUUCCACCACCACCUCAGAGCAGUGCACGCUUCAGUACUGAGCAGAAAUCUCAAAGUUCUGACUGUUAACACUGAAGCGUCUAAAUCACUGUCUUUGCUGCCUCAGGCGGGUAAUUGUAUACAGUUACAGAUGACUGCUCUAUAAUAAUGGACUCUUUUGAAAGAACAAAGAGGAAAAUCUUCAGCAUUCUCCAGUCUCCGAUCGGCAGUCGAUGGUCACGCGUGCGCUACUCAACGACGCAUCAAAGAGGCUCGCCGAGGCAUCGCCGAAAGCAGGCAGAUAUAUUCGGCGCGUUAAAUAUCCGGAGCUGUCGGGCGACUCCACAUCCUGUGGCGUGAAAAGUGUCGUCUCGGGCAGCGAUCUACAGCCAGCGAGAGAGCAAGGCGUGGGGUGAGGUCGCCGUGAGGAAGGGAAAACCCGCAAAACCUUUCUUUUUUUUUUUUUCUUUUGUCUUUUCCUUUUUGGAGUUUUUUCAGCACAAAUCAUCACAAAUCAGUAAAAUGACACACGCUGAAGUCAUCGCUUGGCACUAAAGCCAUGUUUUCUUACAUAAAGGGCCAGUGAGUGUGACCGCGUGUGUCGGAGGGGAGUGUGUGAAUCUGCAGGGAAGGUCAGAGCGCUGGGGUUAAAAGCCAUGUUUUCUUACAUAAAGGACCAGUGAGUGUUGUCGGAGGGGAGUGUGUGAAUCUGCAGGGAAGGUCAGAGCGCUGGGGUUCAAAGCUGAAACGGAAACGGCCAAUCGUAGGAGCACACAUAUGAAUAGGAACAAUUAGGAAGAACAAUAGUGGCACCACACACACACACACACACACACAUUAGUAUUUGUCACAUUUUAAGACGCGUGAUUAUACAUAUGUAGCGUAUACAUGGUGUAUGUAUGUGACUAACAAUUUUUAAAAGUCUUGAAAUGUCUUUGUUUCUUAUUCUUGAGUGUCUUAAACUGACUGAAUACUCUAUUCUGAUUGGCUGGAAGGCGUGUGCGCUCAAACCGUAUAACACACAGGUAGCUCCAGUCAGUUUAAUCAGCGUUCCAAAUGACCGCGCCGCACAUAAACAGUUGUAACCAUAGUAACGUUCAGUUACAGCUGCAUACUGUAGUUAAACUCCCAGCUUCAUUUUAGUAGAGAUACGUGGCACAGACGCAGGUCAUUCUCUCUCUCUCGCUCGCUCUCU
ensembl:lncRNA